UAGGGAAUCUUCCACAAUGGGCGCAAGCCUGAUGGAGCAACACCGCGUGAGUGAAGAAGGGUUUCGGCUCGUAAAGCUCUGUUGUUAAAGAAGAACACGUAUGAGAGUAACUGUUCAUACGUUGACGGUAUUUAACCAGAAAGUCACGGCUAACUACGUGCCAGCAGCCGCGGUAAUACGUAGGUGGCAAGCGUUAUCCGGAUUUAUUGGGCGUAAAGAGAGUGCAGGCGGUUUUCUAAGUCUGAUGUGAAAGCCUUCGGCUUAACCGGAGAAGUGCAUCGGAAACUGGAUAACUUGAGUGCAGAAGAGGGUAGUGGAACUCCAUGUGUAGCGGUGGAAUGCGUAGAUAUAUGGAAGAACACCAGUGGCGAAGGCGGCUACCUGGUCUGCAACUGACGCUGAGACUCGAAAGCAUGGGUAGCGAACAGGAUUAGAUACCCUGGUAGUCCAUGCCGUAAACGAUGAGUGCUAGGUGUUGGAGGGUUUCCGCCCUUCAGUGCCGGAGCUAACGCAUUAAGCACUCCGCCUGGGGAGUACAACCGCAAGGUU
rnacentral:rRNA from 1 species